rnacentral:rRNA from 1 species
GGGCCCGCACAAGCGGUGGAGCAUGUGGUUUAAUUCGACGAUACGCGAAAAACCUUACCAGCUCUUGACAUGGGGAUUUUGGACCUUGGAGACAAGGUUCUUCGGUUCGGCCGGGUCCCACACAGGUGCUGCAUGGCUGUCGUCAGCUCGUGUCGUGAGAUGUUGGGUUAAGUCCCGCAACGAGCGCAACCCUUGUCCCUAGUUGCUAACAGGUUAUGCUGAGAACUUUAGGGAGACUGCCGGUGACAAACUGGAGGAAGGAAAGGAUGAUGUCAAGUCAUCAUGGCCCUUAUGGGCUGGGCUACACACGUGCUACAAUGGUGGUUACAAAAAGACGCAAUAGGGCGACCUGGAGCAAAUCUAUAAAAGCCAUCUCAGUUCGGAUUGUUCUCUGCAACUCGAGAGCAUGAAGUUGGAAUCGCUAGUAAUCGU